GCAAUAUCUGGUGGCGACCGGCAAACGGGUGCGGAACACGUACGCAACCUUCCCAAAACUGGUGAAUAGCCCUCCGAAAGGAGGAUUAAUACACCGUAAGAUAAUGAAGAGGCAUCUCUUUAUUAUUAUAGCUGCGGCGGUUUUGGAUGGGCGUGCGCCUGAUUAGGUAGUUGGCGGGGUAACGGCCCACCAAGCCUGCGAUCAGUAACUGGUGUGAGAGCACGACCAGUCACACGGGCACUGAGACACGGGCCCGACUCCUACGGGAGGCAGCAGUAAGGAAUAUUGGUCAAUGGACGCAAGUCUGAACCAGCCAUGCCGCGUGAAGGAUGAAGGCCCUCUGGGUUGUAAACUUCUUUUAUCUGGGACGAAAAAAGGGAAUUCUUUCCCACUUGACGGUACCAGAGGAAUAAGCACCGGCUAACUCCGUGCCAGCAGCCGCGGUAAUACGGAGGGUGCAAGCGUUAUCCGGAUUUACUGGGUUUAAAGGGUGCGUAGGUGGGUCUGUAAGUCAGUGGUGAAAUCUCCGAGCUUAACUCGGAAACUGCCAUUGAUACUAUAGGUCUUGAAUUAUCUGGAGGUAAGCGGAAUAUGUCAUGU
rnacentral:rRNA from 1 species